rnacentral:rRNA from 1 species
UGCGCCUACGGAGGCAGCAGUGGGGAAUAUUGCACAAUGGGGGAAACCCUGAUGCAGCGACGCCGCGUGAAGGAAGAAGUAUUUCGGUAUGUAAACUUCUAUCAGCAGGGAAGAAAAUGACGGUACCUGACUAAGAAGCCCCGGCUAACUACGUGCCAGCAGCCGCGGUAAUACGUAGGGGGCAAGCGUUAUCCGGAUUUACUGGGUGUAAAGGGAGCGUAGGCGGUAAUGUAAGUCUGGAGUGAAAGGCGGGGGCCCAACCCCCGGACUGCUCUGGAAACUAUGUUACUAGAGUGCAGGAGAGG